rnacentral:rRNA from 1 species
ACGAACGUUGGCGGCGUGCUUAAUACAUGCAAGUCAACUGAAGCAGUGGUAGCAAUAUCGCUGUGGAGGUGGCGCACGGGUGAGUAACACGUAGGUAAUCUGCCUUCAGGUCUGGCAUAACUCCGGGAAACCGGGGCUAAUAGCAGAUGAUGCAGCGGCUCGACAUCGAGACAGUUGUUAAAGCUAUGGCGCCUGAAGAUGAGCCUGCGUCUGAUUAGCUAGUUGGCGGGGUAACGGCCCACCAAGGCAACGACCAGUAGCUGGUCUGAGAGGAUGAUCAGCCACACUGGAACUGAGACACGGCCCAGACUCCUACGGGAGGCAGCAGUAAGGAAUAUUGCUCAAUGGGAGAAAUCCUGAAGCAGCAACGCCGCGUGAGGGACGAAGGGCUUUUGCUUGUAAACCUCUGUAGUGAGAGAAAAAAAUCCCAAUCUUUGGGACAUGAUGGUAUCUCAAAAGUAAGCCCCGGCUAACUACGUG